rfam:Dipodomys ordii contig_31089, whole genome shotgun sequence.
GGUGCUUGCUUUGGCACCGUAUGAACUAAAAUUGGAAUGAUACAGAGAUUAGCAUGACCCCUGUGCAAGAAUGAAGCGUUCCAUAUUUUUAAAGACAAAAUGUUU